rnacentral:rRNA from 1 species
AUGUUCACUGGGUACCCAGUGGUGGGCUUCCAGCACCAGAUCCAAGCGUCCGGUGCAUGUCUCGGUAGCCAAGAAGAUGCACUCCUCACCUCAUGCACAUGGGACCCACGCAUCCGGGGAACCUUCUUCUACACCAAUGGCUAUAGCAUCGCGCUCUCUAGGGUGCCAGCGUUCAUCGCCGACAUGCAACAGCUACGUGACCGUAGCCCGCUAUCCUUUUGUGGAAUCGACGCCAGUAUGGGAAUGCUCCUCUGCUACGUCAAGGCAUCCUCUGCCUACCUUGGCAAACCAGAGGACUCAAUCAACUUUGAUAUACCCUACUACCGGAGUUACAGCAAGGGUGAGCCCAACCCGCACUAUGACGUGCUCGAUGAGCUCCAGCAGAUGGCGCUGCACAAGUACAACGCCAUCCCGCACUGGGGCAAGAACCGCAACUUUGCCUUUGAAGGCACAAUGGUUGGGCAUGCGGUUGUGCAGCCUAACGACCCGAGUUCAAUUCCUAGAAUUGACAGGUUUUAUUCCGCACUACGGCUCUGA